CCUGUCAGUCACCAGACCUAAAGCCUACUGCAUGGUCUUUGGCCUAUAACACCUUCUCCAGUGGCAGUGAAAGGCAGCGAGAGAGGCACAUCCAGUAUAUCGAAAACAUUUCACAUCAGGACUGUACAAAGGAAAGGGAACAUUGGAUAUACUACAAUGUCCUAUGAGCGUAUUCUGUCAAUCACAGACUUAAGUGAGGUCCAAAAUCCCUGGAAAGGAUUCACUAUGAACCGCUGCUUAGUUCUAGCACUGGUUGUGUUGCUCGUGAGCUCAGGGGUCAGCGAAUUGCAUGAAGCUGUGGAUUAUGUUGUCGAGGAGACAGGCAUAAUGUCUUUCAUAGGAAGUGUGCAGGAUGGAUCAAUACUGCAGUUCUCUGUGUGGGACAGUCUAAAAUCGUGGUGGGGAACUGAAGAACUGGGUGCCAUAAGAAGACGAAAAAAGCCUAUUGGCAACAAAGCAAUCCUGAAACCCAAAGCUAAACCUUGAUUCAUGGAAUAUACUG